GACGAACGCUGGCGGCGUGCUUAACACAUGCGAGUCGAACGGAAAGGCCCUGCUUUUGUGGGGUGCUCGAGUGGCGAACGGGUGAGUAACACGUGAGUAACCUGCCCUUGACUUUGGGAUAACUUCAGGAAACUGGGGCUAAUACCGGAUAGGAGCUCCUGCUGCAUGGUGGGGGUUGGAAAGUUUCGGCGGUUGGGGAUGGACUCGCGGCUUAUCAGCUUGUUGGUGGGGUAGUGGCUUACCAAGGCUUUGACGGGUAGCCGGCCUGAGAGGGUGACCGGCCACAUGGGGACUGCGGUACGGCCCAGCCUCCUACGGGAGGCAGCAGUGGGGAAUAUUGCACAAUGGGCGGAAGCCUGAUGCAGCAACGCCGCGUGCGGGAUGACGGCCUUCGGGUUGUAAACCGCUUUCGCCUGUGACGAAGCGUGAGUGACGGUAAUGGGUAAAGAAGCACCGGCUAACUACGUG
rnacentral:rRNA from 1 species